GCCCCCCCCCCCGGUGCCCCCCAGCGCAGCAGCAGCAGCAGCAGCAGCAGAACCUUCCCCCCCCCCCGGGGGGGGCACAGCGCUGCCCGUCUCUCUCGGCGCGGGCGGCGUCGCGCUGCGCCCGCAGCUCGAAGCUUUUGGUGAUGAGCUGCACCGCGUUCAUCUCCUGGCAGCGAAGGGGGGGGCCGUGGCGGCUCUGCCGGGGGGGCUCCCGGUGGUGGGGCUGGAGGCGGCGCUCCGGGGGGGUCCGAACGCCGCCCCCCAUCUCCGCGCUCUCGGUGCUCCCGGUGGCGACGACGCGCCGCUCGCGGUGGCGCCGCGGGGCGAUGCAGGCGCAGCCGUGCGGGUGCGCGGGGGGCUGCGGGGGGGCGGCGUGGCACGGCAGCGCCGGGGGUCUCUGCGGGGAGAGCGGCGGCUGAGACGGCCGGCCUGGGCCGGGGGGCCUCGCCGGGACACGUUCCAUGGCAGCGCGUCACCGUGUGCCGGGUACUGCGUGCCGUGUGCCGCCGUGUGUCACCGUGUGCCAUGUCCUGUGUGCCAUGUCCUGCGUGCCAUGUGCCACCAUGUGCCACUAUGUGCCAUGUGCCACCAUGUGCCAUGUGUCGCCAUGUGCCACGUUAUUUGCCGUGUGCUGCCAUGUGCCAGCACGGUGUCCCACGCCACGUUCCAGGCACGGAGCGCAGAUGCCACACGCCGCGCCCCCCGUGCCGCAUUAUUUGCCACCCCCCCCGCCCCCAGAGCCUCCGCUCGGUGCCCACCUGCCGUCCCUCGCGGUGCGGCGCUCCUCCGCCUUCGGCCGUGCAGCAGGCGCAGGGCUCGGUGCCGUCCCGGUACCCGCGGCGAUGCCGUUCGUCCCGCCGCUCCGGCCGGGCCCGGCAGCCCUGCACCGCGUUACCGCGGCUCGGCGACGCUCGGAGCCCUCCGUGCUCGGCGCGGAUCUCGUCGUCCCGGCGUUGCUCCCGGCGCUCGGCGCCGCUCAGCACCUCGACGGCGGCGCAGCAGCUCCGCACGGCGCGCCACGCCGCCCCCCGGCCCCGCGACCCCGGAGCUCCGUCGCUCGGCCCCGCUCCGUGCCGGCCGCGCAGCCCGCCCGCCUCGCCGUCGCCGUCGCUGCCGCUGCCGCCGGUGUCGGUGCCGCUGCCGGUGCCGCUGUCGGUGUCGGUGCCGGCCGGGCUCGGCGCUCGCGCCGGGCGGUGGCUCAGGAAUUUCUCCAGCGUCCGCGCGGCCAACCCGGCGGCGAUGAAGGAGCGGUCGAUGGCGGAGUCCGGCGCGGCGCCGCCGAUGUGACACGACGCCAGCACGGAGCCCAGCGCCUCGGCCACGCCGGGGGGCUCCGAACCGUCCGGAGGCGGCGGGCGCCGGCGGUCGACGGCCGCGCCGCGGGGCUGCGGUGCGGGGCUGCGGCUCGGCGGAUCCCGGGGGUGCGGAGCGGCGCCGGUCGCGCGGCAGCUGCAGCAGAACCCGGCGGGGGGCGGCGGCGGCGGGGUUCCUGCGGGGGGCGAACGGGGGGGGGGGNNNNNNNNNNNCGACCGGGGCGAAACAACGGGGGCGGCCCGCCGGGGUCGCCGGGUCGGGGGUCACCCGGCUGGGGUCGCUGCGCCCGGGACGCUGCGCUGGGGGCGACACGCUGGGGGGCUCUGCUGGGUCACCGCGUGGGACACCGCACUGGGGGCACCCCGUUGGGUCACUGUUCUGGGGACGAUCCGCUGGGGACGGUCCAUUGGGGACAGUGCAAUGGGGACAAUCCAAGGGGACAGUCCAGUGGGGACACCCUGCUGGGGACAGGCCAUUGGGAAGAGUCCAUUGGGGACAAUCCAAUGGGGACAGUCCAAUGUGGACCCCCCCGGGACGCCCCGUCGGGGUCACUGCACUGGGGACGCCCUGCUGGGGGGGACCUGUUGGGAGCGCUCUGUUAGGGACGCUCCACUGGGACCCUGACAGGAACACAGCGCCCAAAGCCCCCGGUGCUGUGACACUCGGGGUCCGCAUUCCUGCAUCCCCACCC
rnacentral:lncRNA from 1 species